GUGACCUCAAAUCAGGUAGGACUACCCGCUGAACUUAAGCAUAUCAAUAAGCGGAGGAAAAGAAACUAACAAGGAUUCCCCUAGUAACUGCGAGUGAAGCGGGAAAAGCUCAAAUUUAAAAUCUGACAGUCAUCUGGCUGCUCCGAGUUGUAAUCUAGAGAAGUGCUAUCCGCGCUGGACCGUGUACAAGUCUCCUGGAAUGGAGCAUCAUAGAGGGUGAGAAUCCCGUCUUUGACAUGGACUGCCAGGGCUUUUGUGAUGCGCUCUCAAAGAGUCGAGUUGUUUGGGAAUGCAGCUCAAAAUGGGUGGUAAAUUCCAUCUAAAGCUAAAUAUUGGCGAGAGACCGAUAGCGAACAAGUACCGUGAGGGAAAGAUGAAAAGAACUUUGGAAAGAGAGUUAAACAGUACGUGAAAUUGCUGAAAGGGAAACGCUUGAAGUCAGUCGCGUCGUCCAGGGAUCAACCUCGCUUUUGCUUGGUGCACUUUCUGGUUUGACGGGUCAGCAUCAAUUUUGACCAUUGGAAAAAGGUCAGGGGAAUGUGGCAUCCUUGGAUGUGUUUAUAGCCCUUGGUCGCAUACAAUGGUUUGGGAUUGAGGAACUCAGCACGCCGCAAGGCCGGGUGUUUACACCACGCACGUGCUUAGGAUGCUGACAUAUAUAAUGGCUUUAAUCGACCCGUC
rnacentral:rRNA from 1 species